UUUUAGCUGGAAAAGAAAAGAAAUGGACAAUUGCAUUUUUUUUUGAAUGAGUAUAAUGGGCACAGCUUUUAGCAUCAGCUUUUGGAAAAUAAAACAAUAAACUGACUCUACAAUUUUUUUUUAUCUGAUUUUUCCACAGAUCAUGAGCCUGAAUGAGGACCGACUCUGUGCCCGAGGACACCUCCAUCGGUUCAAUAUAUUUAGACAAAAAGCGAUUUGUUUCGGAAUCGUUUUUUCAAAAUGUCUCCAAAAGUAAUCGCCAUCAUUUUCUGCCACAUGACGCAGUUAUAUCUGUCACAUGGCAGACAUACACAACGCGUAAUGGCUGAUGCAGUAGUGGAAACCGCCCGGUAUGUGCCUAGCAGUCGUUACCGAGGGGAAUAUCGAUUGCGCACUAAUAUCGAGGCCAGAUUACGUCGGCAAACUACUAAAACUAAUGCACAUUUCGGUUUCCUUUGUUCUACAGGAGCGUUUCCACCCCGAAGUGCAGGAAAAAAUACUUUUUAAAAAAUAAUCAAGAAAAAAAAUUAUUCACCGACAGGAAAUUAAUUCCAACAAUUAAUCCUCAGAUCUGAGGGCUAAAAAACUCACCCCAACUGGAGCCAGUUCGUCCAAGAAACUGUCCCGUCUCGGAAUUGUACAAAAAUGUAGAGAACGACUCCCAUUUUCCAAGUUUAGGGGGUGGUGUGUAGUACUGCUCGACUUUUUUAUCCUCCAUUGAUAAAACUUUUUAACUAAUAAAUAUAUUAAUUUUAACAAUAAUUUAUAACUGUUGGAUGAACUUUUUUUUCUUUUUAUUUUAGAACAGAGAUACGGUGAUGGCUUCGGCUGGCUGGUGCUGGUGUGAUCGACCAGCUACGGGUGGGCGAGGACACGAAAGAAAGAGGUCUGUGCCGCGCACUCUCGUAUUACUCUGCU